rnacentral:lncRNA from 1 species
UUUGAUCGAAGGAAGUAUAUUAGAGUAUGAAAAGUGUUUAACUAGUACUAGUAAAUGUUCACUGGAAAUUAUAGGAUAAUUAUUUUUAAAAUACAUCACAUCAACAUUAAGGUAAUAGAAUUAUUGCUUAUGUAGUUUGAAUGUGUAUUUUUUAAAACGAAUGAGAAAAGUUGGACAAGUAAUUUAGAAUGGAGUAAUAACACAUUAAGAUACUACUACUAGUGAAAUUUAACUUCAUAAUUCUGUGUGGAGUCAUUAGCUGUGCGGCAUGGCUUAGAAUGACAUUCAUUUUUUUGAAUAACUAAAGAAAAACCAAAAUAGAAUCAAUUCUUUGAUAAAGGAAGAUCUGGGAUUAUUUCAUUCUUGCAUAGAAUAGGGGUUAAUAGUAACUCUGGCCAUCAUCUUGUUACUUCUGAAUCUUUAAGAUGCUUGAAAUGUUAUUGGCGGAUGUAUAGACACUUAUCUUGAACAAGGUCAUCCCUAACUCGUACCGUGGUGGUCCGACCUAUUUUUGACUUGUAGGGCAUACUUUAUCAUUCUAGUUUGAUGAGACCUUAUGGCAAUGUGAUAGUAGAAUGGACUACAAAAUCAUAGUCAGAGCGAGAUAUUAAAAGAAACUAAAUUUUGAAAAUGUCUUACAGCCAUUGUCACUCCUUGCAAUCAUGACAAUUUUUCCAUGGGACAACCAUCUAAGCAUUAUGUUAGUAGUGAAAAGGCACGCACCUACAGUGCAAAUAUUGUCCAAUUUCAGCUCUUACAAUGUAGAAGUCUCAUCAUCUGUAUUCAUUUACCUUUGCUGGUACAUUAGUUGCCUGUCUUUAGGAGGAAUAAGAAAAUCUCCCUCCAUCUCAGUUCCCAUGAUUGUCUCCCUUCCUUCACAGUUGUCACGAAGUUAAUGUUCAGCUUCCUAAUGUGGAACCUUCUGGAAUUUGUUUUUAAUUACCAAAAGUUAAGUUAACUCUACCUCCUCUACUAUUCUAAAGGCACAAAGUAUCAUGGUCCUUUUUUAUUCCCUCAUUCAAUCAAUAUCAGCUCCUAUUCUAGCAACAGGGCAAGGGCAUUCGAUGCAUCUUAUUAGAUUCCCAGUUCGUCCUCUCUUUCACAGUCUAGGAGUAUCCAUCGAUGAUCUUAGGUAAGGGUUUUUGGCUAUUGCACUUUGUUGAUUCACGAACAAUCACCUCUAAUCUUAAUAGUCAAACGGGGAUAUUGAUUUGGGAUUAAGGGAAUGCAAGAAAAGAUAGAUGUAACCAAUUUAAACUAACUUUUGGAAUUUUAUAAUGGUUGAACUUGAGUCUAGCAUUGGACAACCUAGCAAUGGUUGACAUUAGAAACGAGAUAUGCAACCGAAAUGUACUCUUCUGCAACCUCGCAAUGGACAUUCGAAGCAAGAUGUUUCUAGCCACAGAGAAACGAGUCUAACCAUUAUGUACUGUACAAAAUGUGAAGCAUUCUAUCUUCUUCUUGCCAAGAAAAAUGUGAAGCAUUUUGUGAAUAAAUUAGUUCAAGUCAGAAAUUAUGCAAAUGUGUUAGGUUGCCAUGAUUGUAAAACUCUAGUCUUCACUUGGAAAUUCGUUGUUUCAUGUCUCAGAUUGGUUGGAAGGACAGGUUACCGAGUUUCUAGUUGAAACAUUUUCAGACUACUUCACCGAUGUUAAAAUGUGAGUUCUCUUCUGUGCUUUAGCUGAAUGACAUCAUCUGUUGUUUUUUUUUCUUCCUCCAUUGGAAUGUUCUUUAUCCUAUUUAUGUGAGUUCAUUAUAUUCUAUAUUCAUAUGCAGCAGCAGCAACACUUUCUAAUUGAGGAAUAUCCUAGAAUGAAUAGCAUGUAUAUCCUUAACUUUUGUUUGUUUCACAAUUUGGGAAAAAGGUACAUUGAAGAAAGAUCAUUUAGGCGUUUUGUCGAGGCUUGCCUGGAGGAGACUGUUGUUGUUUAUGUGGAUCAUCUACUUACCCAGGUUUAUUUGAAAAGUUCCUCACAGUUCAUUUAAUUACACUACCUUUUUAUUUGGGGUUAUAACAAUUUAGUUGACUAUUUCUAUGUCUUUCACAUGGUAGAAAAACUACAUUAAAGAAGAAACGAUUGAGAGGAUGAGGCUUGAUGAAGAGGUUCUCAUGGAGACACUACUUCUUUUUGUUGGGUUAUAACACAAUUUAGUUGACUAUUUCUAUGUUUCUCACAUGGUAGAAAAACUAUAUUAAAGAAGAAACGAUUGAGAGGAUGAGGCUCGAUGAAGAUUUUCUCAUGGAUUUCUUCCGGGAGUACAUUAGUGUUUCUGUAAGCCCAACAGCUUUCUUUUUGAACUCUUACUAUUACCUGAGGUAUAUUUUUAUUUAGGGGAAUUUCGAAACUCAUGUACCGAUUGCACUUCUCUUAUUCUUUGGGGAGGGUGGUAAAUAGAUAAGCAGCUCAACUUAUGUGCUCAUCUUUUACUUCAUUUCUUAUCCCAUUUACUUCUGAUUUAGAUUUGUGUUAGUAUUGCCUUUAUGUCUUUAGAAAGUUUUCCAAAUCCUUUUUCUGAAUUUCCUAUUCUAACUUAUGAGUUUAAUGCCUUCAAAUAACUAAAUGACUCUAUAAUAAAAAAUUACGAUACCAGUCUCUUCUAUUUUUAUUUUGGCUUAAUCUAACUUAAACUCCAAUUUUUGGUGCAAGAACACUACUUUUAUUUAAUUUAUUUACAAGGUCUACUUUUUUAAUUUACUAUAGCAAAGUGUCAAUCUAAGGCUAAUUUUUUUUUAAAUUUUCUUAAGGCUAAAAUGGUGGCAAUUUAUUUAUCCGGAAUUCAAUCUGGUAGCAAUCAAAUAGAAAAUAAGAAUGAAAAAUGCUAGACUUAUUGUUAAUCUAACUUGAUGGUUAUGUACAAUAAAUUUUUUAAGAAAGGAUUUGAAUCUGCUUUUUGUCCCCACAUGUAAAAAGAAUAAAUAGAUUGCCUCAAAUCUCUUAACUUUUUAAGUUUUAGCUUGUGACAUUAUUUAAUACUAAUAUGGAGAACAUUGCAUAAGUUAGAACAUUGCAUAAGUUAGCACCAAUUUUCCAGCAAGAAAUUUGUAAGAGAUUUUGCAAACAGGAGAAAAUACUUUGCUAAAAAUGUUGGCAAAAGUGAUUAUGUGAUCCAUGAUAAUGAGUGUAAGAGCUUUGUUGUGAUUUAAAAUUGUAUUAGGGUAUUAUACAUACGACUUUUUUUAAAUGGUUUGAGAUAUUAUGAAUCUUAAGUAGUAUUUUAAAAAGAUGAAUUAUAAAACAUUAAAUAUAGUAUACGGCCUUUAUUUCAUGUAUGUUUUUUCUAGAUUAUAGUCCCUGAUUUACAUACCAUAUCGAGGUAUUUGGAGACCAAAGUUCAAUUGUUACGAUAAUAUCAUGUGAUAAGCAUGUGAUUGUUAAUAAAUCACAUUUGAUUUGCAACAUUUUAGAGAUGCAAAGUCCAUAUACAUUCUCUAAUAUAUCUUCUAUAUAUAUUACUGAAUUUAAAUACUAGAAAUAUUUUGUUGCUUGCCUAAAUAUGCCCGUGCCCGAAUAUCAAGGUAUUGUCCGCUUUGGCCACACCCCUCUAGGUCAUGGUAGGUGGUAUCAGAGCUGGUACCUCGUCUAGUACGAGGGUGGGGCAAACCUCAGCGAGGACGCUGAGUUCCUAUUGGAGGUGAAUGUAACAACAUGGUUCAACUCUGUUUAUUGCGACACUUGUCUUAGGCAAAUCCCACAUCGGAAUGAGAGAGGAAAGUUUGAGCCAUAUAAGGUUAGGAUUCAAGUGUUAAGGUGCCUUAAAGCCCAAGGGGAUAAACUCAUGAGGUCCCAAAGAUUGGUUCAGAGUGAACAAUACCUUGAAACUGGAUUUGGGCUGGUAUAGACUUAUUAAACUCUUAUCAAAUGUGAAUGACAUGCAGAAAUUAAUGGCUAAAGGAGAGGGCAAAGUAAGUCGGCAACUAGCAAGAGAAUUGCGGAGAUCGGAAAUUUUCCGUAGUUGGAAGAAUUAAAGAAAAAUACCACACUGCAUCCAGUAAGUCCAUGGCGUUAGGUGUCUUUUUAAUUGUUGGACUAGUCACUUAUGACUAAGGCUCUCAAGAAAAGGGGGUGGGCGGGUUUUUUGGCUCACA